rnacentral:rRNA from 1 species
CGAAGGGGGCUAGCGUUGUUCGGAAUUACUGGGCGUAAAGCGCGCGCAGGCGGCUCUUCAAGUCAGAGGUGAAAGCCCAGGGCUCAACCCUGGAAUGGCCUUUGAGACUAGAGAACUAGGGUACGGGAGAGGUGAGUGGAAUUCCGAGUGUAGAGGUGAAAUUCGUAGAUAUUCGGAAGAACACCAGUGGCGAAGGCGGCUCACUGGCCCGUUACCGACGCUCAGGCGCGACAGCGUGGGGAGCAAACAGGAUUAGAUACCCUGGUAGUCCACGCCGUAAACGAUGGAUGCUAGCCGUUGGUAAGCAUGCUUAUCAGUGGCGCAGCUAACGCAUUAAGCGUCCCGCCUGGGGAGUACGGCCGCAAGGUUG